GAUGAACGCUGGCGGCGUGCUUAACACAUGCAAGUCGAACGGGAAUUAUUUUAUUGCACCUUCGGUCGAUUUAAUUUAAUUCUAGUGGCGGACGGGUGAGUAACGCGUGGGUAACCUGCCUUAUACAGGGGGAUAACAGUCAGAAAUGGCUGCUAAUACCGCAUAAGCGCACAGAGCUGCAUGGCUCAGUGUGAAAAACUCCGGUGGUAUAAGAUGGACCCGCGUUGGAUUAGCUGGUUGGUGGGGUAACGGCCCACCAAGGCGACGAUCCAUAGCCGGCCUGAGAGGGUGAACGGCCACAUUGGGACUGAGACACGGCCCAGACUCCUACGGGAGGCAGCAGUGGGGAAUAUUGCACAAUGGGGGAAACCCUGAUGCAGCGACGCCGCGUGAAGGAAGAAGUAUCUCGGUAUGUAAACUUCUAUCAGCAGGGAAGAUAGUGACGGUACCUGACUAAGAAGCCCCGGCUAACUACGUG
rnacentral:rRNA from 1 species